rnacentral:lncRNA from 1 species
CAGGAUGUCGCUAUGGGAUCACCAGGAUGUCACCAUGGCAGUACCAGGAGCUCAUUAUGGGAUCACCAGGAUGUCCACAUGGGAUCACCAGGAUGUCACCAUGGGAUCAGCAGGAUGUCACCACAGGAUCACAAGGAUGUCACCAUGGGAUCAGCAGGAUCUCACUAUGGGAUCAGUAGGCUGUCCGUAUGGGAUCAGAAGGCUGUCCGUGUGGGAUCAGUGGGCUGUCUGUAUGGGAUGAGGCGGCUGUCCAUAUGGAAUCAGUGGGCUGUCUGUAUGGGAUCAGUAGGAUCUCACUAUGGGACCACCAGGCUGUCUGUAUGGGAUCAGCAGGCUGUCCCUAUGGGAUCAGUAGGCUGUCUGUAUGGGAUCAGAAGGCUGUCCGUGUGGGAUCAGUGGGCUGUCUGUAUGGGAUCAGUGGGCUGUCUGUAUGGGAUCAGCAGACUGUCCCUAUGGGAUCAGUAGGCUGUCCAUAUGGGAUCAGAAGGCUGUCCGUGUGGGAUCAGUGGGCUGUCUGUAUGGGAUCAGCAGGCUGUUCCUAUGGGAUCAGCAGGAUCUCACUAUGGGAUCAGUGGGCUGUCUGUAUGGGAUCAGAAGGCUGUCCGUGUGGGAUCAGUGGGCUGUCUGUAUGGGAUCAGCAGGCUGUUCCUAUGGGAUCAGUAGGAUCUCUCUAUGGGAUCAGCAGGAUCUCACUAUGGGAUCAGCAGCUGUCCGUAUGGGAUCAGUGGGCUGCCCGUAUGGGAUCAGCAGGCUGUCACUAUGGGAUCACUGCAACGUCACCAUGGGAUCAGUGGGCUGUCUGUAUGGGAACACCAGGAUGUCCCUAUGGGAUCACCAAGCUGUCCCUAUGAGAUCAGCAGGAUGUCACUAUGGGAUCACCGUAAUGUCACCACGGCAUCACCAGGCUGUCCCUAUGGGAUCAGCAGGCUGUCACUAUGGGAUCAGCAGGCUGUCUGUAUGGGAUCAGCAGACUGUCCCUAUGGGAUCUGUAGGCUGUCUGUAUGGG